UACAGAGGUCUCAAGCGUUGUUCGGAUUCAUUGGGCGUAAAGGGUGCGUAGGCGGCGCGGUAAGUCGGGUGUGAAAUCUCGGAGCUUAACUCCGAAACUGCAUUCGAUACUGCCGUGCUUGAGGACUGGAGAGGAGACUGGAAUUUACGGUGUAGCGGUGAAAUGCGUAGAUAAUCGUAAGGAAGACCAGUGGACGGAAGGCGGUUCUCUGGGCCUUACCUGACGCUGAGGAGCCGAAAGCGUGGGAGCGAACAGG
rnacentral:rRNA from 1 species